AUGAUGAACAGCUUGGCAGGGGGAUCCUUGACCGACACCAGGCUCGCUGA
rnacentral:snoRNA from 1 species